UGAUAGCGACAGCUAGGACAUGGGAUUUGCUGUGUCUUGGAGAUGCUCAGAACGCUUUGGGCUCCACGUGAUCAUGGAUACCAUCACAAAGCACCAUCUCCCCGCACAACUGAUGGCUGUCUUUCCUCCUGCUUCUCCACUGCACAAGAAGUCCCUAUAGGGUGGGACUUGGUUUGCUGGACCCAGGGCCUGGUGCAGACAAGGGAGGGCAAUUAAAGUCUGUUCAAUGACUUAAUGAUUGUCAAGUGCAUAUCAAUUUGUAAAAGGGAAACUGAAGCCAUUUGCACCCGCAUGGUGCCUGAUCUGCACGUGGACCUGUGUCUAAGUAGGAGGGACAGCAAAAUAGAAGAAGCUUUAGGAAGUGUCUGUUCUCCAGGCUCUGGCAGGCCUCAUGACUAUGUCAUAUCUUGCUGUAUUUGAUGUGAUGUCUUUUGCAGACAUCAACAUUUUGCUUUUCCAACUGGUUGGUAAGCUUCUUUUAAAGAUGCUUGGCA
rnacentral:lncRNA from 1 species